rnacentral:pre_miRNA from 1 species
AGUGGGGUAGCUGGGUCAAAUGGCAAUUCCAUUCCAAGUUUUCCAAGGAAUCUUCAUACUGCUUUCCAAAUUGGCUUCACUAAUUUGCAGUCCCACCAGCAAU